AAAAUAGGUCUGUACAUUUUUGAGCACCCAAAGUGGUAAGAGACAUUCUUGAAAACAGCUUAAAAAUUUCUGUAGAUACCACCACAAAUAAUCCACACAAUACUUCAACAAGCAUUUAUUAAACGCCUACUAUGUGCUCAGCACUAUACUAGGCACUCGGGGGUGCAGAGAUACAAAUGUAAAAGUUAUUAUUCCUGCCCUCAAGGAGCUUACAAUUUAAUUUUGGAAAUAAAUACAAAUAUGAAACUGUAACACAGAGUGCUAGAAAAUAAUUACAAAGCAACAUAUUAGUAAGUACAUGGACCACAGUACAAACUCAAAAGAUAAGUGCUGAGGCAGCACAGAAUGAGGGAGGUCAUCGCAUGAGGUGAUGUCAAUCAGGGAGAGCUCAGUCAGAAGAUAUAAAGGAAGAAAGGCUUUGAAGGGAGUGAUGAACAUGAGCUGGGACCAAAGAGCAAUCUAAGCAAAAAGAAUAGCAUGAGAAAGGCACAGAGGCAAGAGCUUGUAAGACAUCAGUAGAAGGCUGUAGGAAGUUUGAAUCUGUUGAAUCAAGGUGAAUAUGCUAGAGAGUAAUGAAGGCUGAUGAAUAUUAGGCAUAGAGGUAAUGGAGAAUUUGGAACACCACUGCUCCAUAGGAAUUAUCUACUGGGUGUUACUUAGUGAAAAUGAAAUUUUACAAUAGAGAUAUUGUAAAAAUGGGUGUUUGAGGAGGAUCGUCUUUGAAAAAUUAUCUACUGGGUGUUACUGAAAAUGAAAAUUUUACAAUACGGAUAUUGUAAAAAUGGAGUUUGAGGAGGAGCACCUUAGAAACUUUAUACAAGAUGGGGAUCCUGGGAGCAAGGAAAUUGGAAAAAAAAGAAUUACAGUAACCUGGGCCUCAGAUCUACAUGAAAAGCUAUAAUGGGAUGAGAGAAAUGGGAGAUCAAGCCUCAAGGAGAAAACUGAUUAAAAACUGGACUGACAGCAAGUUUUUGGACAUGGAGAAUGGAGAGCAGAAAAAGAUAACUCCAAGGCUGGGGUAAAAAUAUAAAGGUGGUGACACUUUUCAGGGCAAAGGAAUUACGCAAUGAGUCUAAGAACAUUUCACUGGAAUGCUAAGUAUGAAAGCCAGUAAAAAGAAGUUUUAAGAACAGAUUAAUGAAAAAGGGGGGUUGAAAAAUCAAAGAUAUGUUUGAAAAACCAUGAACAAUAGAGGAGAAACAGAAUGGUAGUUGGAAAUGGGCAAUGAGGAUGAAAGCAUUUCACAUUUUAUGCUGUAGAUGAACUUACUAUUGUCAUCCUAACUGACCAUCUGCCUGGCCUGGUACAUGGAUAUUUCAUUUCCCUCCACAAUUCUACUUUCCCUUUGGCAGUUUGGAGAAAAAUAUAUUUGAAUUUAUUAUUGCUUUAUCCUCCCAAUUACUCUGUUAAAUAUGUUUUGUUUGCACAAUUUAGCUUUGUAGUACUACAAAGCAUCAACACUUAAAAAUGAUAUAAUUGUAACCCCAAAAAGCAUUUUCCACCAAUUUUCCAGUAAUUGUAAUGUAUUUGCACUCUACUGCACAUUCUUUUCCCCAGUACCUCUCAUGACAAGCGCUACAUAUUUUUAAAAAGCUGGUUAGAAUUACCAUGUUCAUUAUACACACCUUAGCACAGUAGUCAGAACAGGCUCUAGAAUCAAACUGUGUGGGUCAGAAUCAGUUUUAUCACAUACUGGCUGGGUGAUAUUGGUCAGCUCACUCAACUAAGCCUCCGUUUCCUCAUUUAUAAAAUGGGGGAUAAAAUAAUACCUAUUGAUAUGGUUUGGCUGUGUCCCAUCCAAAUCUCAUCUUGAAUUGUAGCUCCCACAAUUCCCACGUGUCGUGGGUGGGACCAAGUGGGAGGUAAUUGAAUCACGGGGGCAGAACUUUCCUGUGCUGUUCUUGUGAUAGUGAAUAAGUCUCACAAGAUCGGACGGUUUUAUAAAGAGUUCCCCUGCACAAGUUCUCUCUUUGCCUGCUGCCAUCCAUGUAUAAGACAUGAUUUGCUCCUCCUUGCCUUCCACCAUGAUUGUGAGGCGUCCCCAGCCAUGUGGAACUGAGUCCAUUAAACCUCUUUCCUUUAUAAAUUACCCAGUGUCAGGUAUGUCUUUAAUAGCAGCAUGAGAACAGACUAAUACAUUUAUCAUGAGCCUGAGAAAGGCAUAACAGGGUUGGGCACAUAGUAAGUGCUCAAUAAACGUCGGCUAUUAUUAUUUGGAGACUCAGAACCAAGAGUAAAGUUAACUGCUCUGUUUGGGAAUCAACCACCAUAUUCUAGCACUGCACCUUGCUCCAUGGAGAAAAUCUCUGAAACCUAACAUGCCUCUCCCAGGGCUAUGUUGGAUGGCAUUAGAGUUAUGAAAGAACCACCUUAUCAUGUCAGUUCCUAAAAUGAGAAGCUUAGGAUGGGAGGAGAAAGUACUGAUGAAUAGUUCAUUUCAGAUGAACAUAAAGAUAGAAUCUAUAGGAUAAAGGAGCUUAAUGAAUGCCAUUCACAGUUAAGAGCUCAAAAUGUCAUACAGCCUAGUCAAUAAUAUUCUAUGCUAAGAGUGUGAACUUGAGACAAAGAAUGAUUUCUAGUGAUGUCCUCAAAGAAUCCACAGCCUUUUUCUAUUGUCUUAUACCAUUUGGCUAAUUCUGUAUAUGUGCUGUAUCAGCUUUGAUAAUUCUUUCAAGACACAGUCUUUUCUCACACCCAAUAUAACACUAAUUUUUCUAGUCAUAUUAUUUUCUCCAAAUUUAUGCCACAUGCUUAGUAAUUCUGAGAUUUAAGUAAUCUGGCUACAUAUUACUCUUAAUACUGACACAUAAAGAGACUUUAGCUAGUACAUCUGUAUACAUUUCAAUGUGUUGCUCUGGUCUAUGGCCAUACCACCCUGAAUGCACCCAAUUUUGUUAAUAUGUUGCAUUGCUAAAAGGACUUU
rnacentral:lncRNA from 10 species